rnacentral:rRNA from 1 species
GAUGAACGCUGGCGGCGUGCCUAAUACAUGCAAGUCGAGCGAACAGACGAGGAGCUUGCUCCUCUGACGUUAGCGGCGGACGGGUGAGUAACACGUGGAUAACCUACCUAUAAGACUGGGAUAACUUCGGGAAACCGGAGCUAAUACCGGAUAAUAUAUUGAACCGCAUGGUUCAAUAGUGAAAUACGGUUUUGCUGUCACUUAUAGAUGGAUCCGCGCCGCAUUAGCUAGUUGGUAAGGUAACGGCUUACCAAGGCAACGAUGCGUAGCCGACCUGAGAGGGUGAUCGGCCACACUGGAGCUGAGACACGGUCCAGACUCCUACGGUAGGCAGCAGUAGGGAAUCUUCCGCAAUGGGCGAAAGCUUGACGGAGCAACGCCGCGUGAGUGAUGAAGGUCUUCGGAUCGUAAAACUCUGCUAUUAGGGAAGAACAAAUGUGUAAGUAACUAUGCACGUCUUGACGGUACCUAAUCAGAAAGCAACGGCUAACUACGUG